ACGUCAGGUGGCCAGGAAACACAAGAAGAAGCGCCUGGUGCAGAGCCCCAAUUCCUACUUCCUGGUUGUGAAAUGCCCAGGAUGCUAUAAAAUCACCACGGUCUUUAGCCAUGCACAAAUGGUAGUUUUGUGUGUUGGUUGCUCCACUGUUCCCUGUCAGCCAACAGGAAGAAAAGCAAGGCUUACAGAAGGAUACGCCUUCAGAAGAAAGCAGCACUAAAAGCACCUCAAAUCAAGAUGAGUGGGAAA